rnacentral:rRNA from 1 species
GACGAACGCUGGCGGCGUGCUUAACACAUGCAAGUCGAACGGUAAGGCCCUGCUUUUGUGGGGUGCUCGAGUGUCGAACGGGUGAGUAACACGUGAGUAACCUGCCCUUGACUUUGGGAUAACUUCAGUGAACUUGGGCUAAUACCGGAUAGUAGCUCCUGCUGCAUGGUGGGGGUUGGAAAGUUUCGGCGGUUGGGGAUGGACUCGUGGCUUAUCAGCUUGUUGGUGGGGUAGUGGCUUACGAAGGCUUUGACGGGUAGCCGGCCUGAGAGGGUGACCGGCCACAUUGGGACUGAGAUACGGCCCAGACUCAUACGGGAGGCAGCAGUGGGGAAUAUUGCACAAUGGGCGGAAGCCUGAUGCAGCAACGCCGCGUGCGGGAUGACGGCCCUCGGGUUGUAAACCGCUUUCGCCUGUGACGAAGCGUGAGUGACGGUAAUGGGUAAAGAAGCACCGGCUAACUACGUG